rnacentral:rRNA from 1 species
AUUGAACGCUGGCGGCAGGCCUAACACAUGCAAGUCGAGCGAGCGGCGGACGGGUGAGUAAUGUCUGGGAAACUGCCUGAUGGCGGGGGAUAACUACUGGAAACGGUAGCUAAUACCGCAUACCAUCAGAUGUGCCCAGAUGGGAUUAGCUGGUAGGUGGGGUAACGGCUCACCUAGGCGACGAUCCCUAGCUGGUCUGAGAGGAUGACCAGCAACACUGGAACGGAGAAACGGUCCAGACUCCUACGGGAGGCAGCAUUGGGGAAGAUUGCACAAGGGUGGCAAGCCUGAGGGAGCCAGGCCGCGUGUGUGAAGAAGGCCUUCGGGGUGUAAAGCACUUUCAGCGGGGAGGCGUUACCCGCAGAAGAAGCACCGGCUAACUCCGUGCCAGCAGCCGCGGUAAUAC